rnacentral:rRNA from 1 species
AGAGUUUGAUCAUGGCUCAGGAUGAACGCUGGCGGCGUGCCUAAUACAUGCAAGUCGAGCGAACCACUUCGGUGGUGAGCGGCGAACGGGUGAGUAACACGUAGGUGAUCUGCCCAUCAGACGGGGACAACGAUUGGAGACGAUCGCUAAUACCGGAUAGGACGAAAGUUUAAAGGUGCUUCUGGCACCGCUGAUGGAUGAGCCUGCGGCGCAUUAGCUAGUUGGUAGGGUAAAGGCCUACCAAGGCGACGAUGCGUAGCCGACCUGAGAGGGUGAACGGCCACACUGGGACUGAGACACGGCCCAGACUCCUACGGGAGGCAGCAGUAGGGAAUCUUCGGCAAUGGCGAAAGCCUGACCGAGCAACGCCGCGUGAAUGAUGAAGGCCUUCGGGUUGUAAAAUUCUGUUAUAAGGGAAGAACGACUUUAGUAGGAAAUGGCUAGAGUGUGACGGUACCUUAUGAGAAAGCCACGGCUAACUACGUG